UCUAGGACCGCCGUAAUGAUUAAUAGGGACAGUCGGGGGCAUCAGUAUUCAAUCGUCAGAGGUGAAAUUCUUGGAUCGAUUGAAGACUAACUACUGCGAAAGCAUUUGCCAGGAUGUUUUCAUUUAUCAGGAACGAAAGUUAGGGGAUCGAAGACGAUCAGAUACCGUCGUAGUCUUAACCAUAAACUAUGCCGACUAGGGAUCGGACGGUGUUAUUUCUUGACCCGUUCGGCACCUUACGAGAAAUCAAAGUGCUUGGGCUCCAGGGGGAGUAUGGUCGCAAGGCUGAAACUUAAAGAAAUUGACGGAAGGGCACCACCAGGGGUGGAGCCUGCGGCUUAAUUUGACUCAACACGGGGAAACUCACCAGGUCCAGACACAACGAGGAUUGACAGAUUGAGAGCUCUUUCUUGAUUUUGUGGGUGGUGGUGCAUGGCCGUUCUUAGUUGGUGGAGUGAUUUGUCUGCUUAAUUGACAUAACGAACGACACCUUAACCUGCUAUCUAGUCCGUAUUACCCCGGUAGUACGCCGACUUCUUAUACGGACUAUCGGCUUCAGGCUAUGGAAGUUUGACGCGGUAACUGGUCUGUGAUGCCCUUAGAUGCUCUGGGCCGCACGCGCGUUACUCUGACGAGUCCAUCGAGUCCUUCCUUGAUUGAAAUGUUCCGGGUUAUCUUGUGACUACCAUCGCGCUGGAGAUAAAACAUUGUAAUAAUCACUAUUGCACUCGCGACGCCUAUACCUGCGGCCCUCUUGGGAGACUUCCACAUGCUUCGAUUCAUACCUUGAGUCUUCUUAUGGGGUCCCCUAAAAAUAAGUU
rnacentral:rRNA from 2 species